rfam:Volvox carteri f. nagariensis unplaced genomic scaffold VOLCAscaffold_112, whole genome shotgun sequence.
GAGGUCGUAGCUCAAAUGGUAGAGCGCCCGCUUAGCAUGCGAUGCUGAGCGCCGCAGAUGAUGUGCGGGAGGUAGGGGGAUCGAUGCCCUCCGACUCCA